GGGUCGGCGCCGGAUUAAGCGUCUUGGAUUGUGAUUCCAGUUGUCGCGGGUUCGAGCCCCGUCGGUCACCCCACCA
rnacentral:tRNA from 1 species